AGGAGCGCCUUCCAUUCCCUCCACGUUUUUCCCUUCCCUCUAUUUUUUCCCUUCGCUGAUUUAUAUACAUUUAACUAUUUAAGCCCUAAACUAUGUCGUUUUUUGGGGCCAAUUAACACUGUAAAGUACUUUGCCAUUUUAUUUAGCCCUAAUGCUCUCUCUCCUUCCAUCACAACUCUCUCUCUUUCCAACACCCGUAUCGCCCAUCACCGGUCUCGCCCUUCCAUCACCAGUUCUCACAGCUUUCAAAAAACCCCUUCUCUCUCUAUUGUCUCUCCUUUUUAAAACGCCUUCUCUUUCUGUUUCCCUUCGCUGUCUUUUCCAUCCAAAAUCAGGAGAGGAAAGAGAAAGAGUAAGAGAGAGAAAGCAAUUUCAGUCCCCAUAAAACUACUCUAACUUUCACUCUCUUCUUGUGUGGAAAGUAAUCAAGUUCGCGAAGCAGAAAUUAAAGAGACUGCAUUAUUUUUAAGGAGGAAAUAAUCGAUCGUAGCUUGGAUUAUUGGAACAAGUUUUGUCGUUGAUUAGUCUGAUUUCGUUUUUAGGAAGGAUAAAUAAUAAGUUGACAAUGAAACGAACGGUUAGUGAAGUGGAAAAAGUGAGUGAAGAAAAUACCAAAGCUUCAACUUCAAAAUCAUCCAAACCACCGCCGAAGAAUAAACGGGGCCCGACCCGAUGCAAGAAUGUCGUAAACGCGACUAACCUUAAUACCAUUAAGGGUUAAUAAGUAUGGAUAACCAAUCGGCCUUGAAAGGGGUACAUAUACUAAUUAUUUGGGACCACUUGUCCGGAAUGGUAGAUUAGCUCCUUUGUGCUACAAAACUUGGUGGGAGAUGCAUAAACGGCUUAAAGAGGAUAUGUGGAACAUUGUAAAGGGAAAAUAUAAUGCGGGAAUCAUGUUAAAACAAUGGACAUUAUCCUCCAUCGGAAAAAAUAGAGGGGGUACAAGUGUGAAUUAAAAAGUGAAUACUACUCGGUUAGGUAUACAGAUGCAGAAAGAUUGGCAAACCCACUAUCUGAUGUUGAAAAGGAGCAUUGGGAAUUUUUGGUUAGGCAUUGGGAUAUGCCUAUGGCGAAGGAGGUCAGUGAAAAAAACAAAGAACAUCGUGGGAAGCAGACAAUGAUGCAUACUACAGGGACAAAAAGCUUUGCAUGUGUUUCUGCCGAGAUUUAUUCAUUUGCACAUAUGUAAAUAAGGAUGACAAUGCUAUUGAUGCUGCUGCUUCGGAGAUGAUUAAAACAUAAAAUGUCUUCAAAAAAGUUACUCUGACUCGUCUAUUGGCAGUUCUAAUGAUUUGUUCUCCGUUGUGAGGGGAGAAGAGAGAACCGGUCGUGUGCAGAUGCUUGGCUUGGGGCCUACACCAAGCGAUGUUUGGGGCCCUCUCCUAGUAAAGCUGAACUGAUUAAUAAUGCCAAAAAAUCUGAUGAGGAGGCAAGAGCUGCACGUGUAGAAUUUCAGGAGACCAUUUCAAAAAUGCAAGCCGACUAUGACGACAAGUUGGAAAAUUUACGAGCCAAUUAUGACGAUAAGUUAGAAAAUUUACAACUACAGGUGGCUAUGCUAAUGCAGACGCAACAACAAAAUUGUAGUGGACAGGGUUCUGAUUCUUUAAAUGCUCCUAGAGUAUCCCCAAAUUCAUUUUCUAGUCCCGAUGCCAAUUCAGUUAAGGGUAAUUCAAAUCAAAUGGGCAAGAAGAGUUGUUAAAGUUGAAGUUGAAGCUGAAGAUGGGGUUGUGGCUGUGCUUUCUGCAUUUCCUUCGCCUUGGAUGGGUUCUUUUUGAAAAACUUGUACUACAUUUGUCAAAAAUUCUUAAUUCUUUUUGUGUCACAUUUAGUAGAUUUAGACAAUUUGGAUGGUAUUUUCAUACUGGCAGGUUAACUUGUGGUUGUAUUAGUAGACAUUUUUUGAGUUUUGGUUGACA